rnacentral:rRNA from 1 species
AUGAACGCUGGCGGCGUGCCUAAUACAUGCAAGUCGAGCGAACAGACGAGGAGCUUGCUCCUUUGACGUUAGCGGCGGACGGGUGAGUAACACGUGGAUAACCUACCUAUAAGACUGGGAUAACUUCGGGAAACCGGAGCUAAUACCGGAUAACAUGUUGAACCGCAUGGUUCAACAGUGAAAGACGGUCUUGCUGUCACUUAUAGAUGGAUCCGCGCCGCAUUAGCUAGUUGGUAAGGUAACGGCUUACCACGGCAACGAUGCGUAGCCGACCUGAGAGGGUGAUCGUACACACUCGAACUGAGACACGGUCCAGACUCCUACGGGAGGCAGCAGUCGGGAAUCCUCCGCAAUGGGCUAAAGUUUGAUCGAGCAACGCCGCGUGCGUGAAGAAAAUCUUCGGGUCGUUAACCUGUGUUAUUAGGGAACAACCAAUGUGUAAGUAACUAUUCACGUCUUGCCGUUACCUAAACAGCCAGCCACGGCUAACUACGUU